rnacentral:rRNA from 1 species
UAUCCUGUCUGAAUAUGGGGGGACCAUCCUCCAAGGCUAAAUACUCCUGACUGACCGAUAGUGAACCAGUACCGUGAGGGAAAGGCGAAAAGAACCCCGGCGAGGGGAGUGAAAAAGAACCUGAAACCGUGUACGUACAAGCAGUGGGAGCACCCUUUGGGGUGUGACUGCGUACCUUUUGUAUAAUGGGUCAGCGACUUAUAUUCUGUAGCAAGGUUAACCGAAUAGGGGAGCCGGAGGGAAACCGAGUCUUAAUUGGGCGUUAAGUUGCAGGGUAUAGACCCGAAACCCGGUGAUCUAGCCAUGGGCAGGUUGAAGGUUGGGUAACACUAACUGGAGGACCGAACCGACUAAUGUUGAAAAAUUAGCGGAUGACCUGUGGCUGGGGGUGAAAGGCCAAUCAAACCGGGAGAUAGCUGGUUCUCCCCGAAAGCUAUUUAGGUAGCGCCUCGUGAAUUCAUCUCCGGGGGUAGAGCACUGUUUCGGCUAGGGGGCCAUCCCGGCUUACCAACCCGAUGCAAACUGCGAAUACCGGAGAAUGUUAUCACGGGAGACACACGGCGGGUGCUAACGUCCGUCGUGAAGAGGGAAACAACCCAGACCGCCAGCUAAGGUCCCAAAGUCAUGGUUAAGUGGGAAACGAUGUGGGAAGGCCCAGACAGCCAGGAUGUUGGCUUAGAAGCAGCCAUCAUUUAAAGAAAGCGUAAUAGCUCACUGGUCGAGUCGGCCUGCGCGGAAGAUGUAACGGGGCUAAACCAU